CACUAAUUCUAUAUUAUGUGACUUAUUCCGCUAUGAAAAGAAAAGAACGAUGUAAGUGCAUAAAGUAAUUAUCCAAACUUUACCUGAGGUGAUGACAUAGAAUGUAAGGUGGUGGUGUUGAUGAUCGAUGCAAGGAAAACAAAACAGUCAAGCAGCUUAUGAAAAAGUGAGGCAAGUUAGUUUAGGAACAAAAUUUUCUAGAUAUCUUAUUCGAACAGCUCAUGCCUCCAUUGAGAAACCAACAUUAGUAAGCUUGCAAAACAAAGAAAAUAGUCUAAAUCUCAUUGGGAUUCUCGUCUCUGUUGAUGAAUGAUUGGAAAAAGAUUACAUACUGACCUCAUUUCAGCUAUUAAACAAACUGGGAUGCCGCUGAUUUUGCAUGAAAAGGUGAAGGAUGGACUGCUGCCAUAAAACAGGAAGCAAUAACCAAGUCAGUCUCUUAUUCUACAAAG